UGGGGAAUUUUGGACAAUGGGCGAAAGCCUGAUCCAGCAAUGCCGCGUGUGUGAAGGAGGCCUUCGGGUUGUAAAGCACUUUUGUCCGGAAAGAAAUCCUUGGCUCUAAUACAGUCGGGGGAUGACGGUACCGGAAGAAUAAGCACCGGCUAACUACGUGCCAGCAGCCGCGGUAAUACGUAGGGUGCAAGCGUUAAUCGGAAUUACUGGGCGUAAAGCGUGCGCAGGCGGUUUGCUAAGACCGAUGUGAAAUCCCCGGGCUCAACCUGGGAACUGCAUUGGUGACUGGCAGGCUAGAGUAUGGCAGAGGGGGGUAGAAUUCCACGUGUAGCAGUGAAAUGCGUAGAGAUGUGGAGGAAUACCGAUGGCGAAGGCAGCCCCCUGGGCCAAAUACUGACGCUCAUGCACGAAAGCGUGGGGAGCAAACAGGAUUAGAUACCCUGGUAGUCCACGCCCUAAACGAUGUCAACUAGUUGUUGGGGAUUCAUUUCCUUAGUAACGUAGCUAACGCGUGAAGUUGACCGCCUGGGGAGUACGGUCGCAAGAUUAAAACUCAAAGGAAUUGACGGGUCAUA
rnacentral:rRNA from 1 species